AAAGUGAUUUAGGUUUUUCCACAUUUUUAUUUGUUUGUUGCUUAUUACUUAUUUUAAAAAAAAUUAUUUAUUUAGAUAUAUGCUUAUCAUUUCUUUAAUGGAAAUUUUCAAAGAUACACAAAAGUAGAGAGACUAGAACCUCCAAGUAUCACUCGGCUUCAACAAUGAUUAUUUUUUCAAUAUGUUUGAUGAUAUGAUUUCUGCUAGAAUUAUCUCUUACAUUCUUUCUGAUGUAAUUACUACUUUAUUCAUAUAACAUCUUGGUGUUCCCACACCAUUGGUAUAAUUACUGCCUUACACUAGUUAAUUGUGGCUGAUGCAGGGGACAUUUGUAUGCUAUUAAAUGCUCUUGUUGAAGUUAGCUCACUACAGGCCACAAAGUAUUUCUGUUUUCCCUGAAACAGGAUUGUUUUGAGUUUUAAGUUUUGGCUUAGCUUGGGUUCAAAAACGAAUCUGUUUGGUAUCUGUUGGCCUCCUUGGGUUGGUCUGUGUUUACCACACUGACCAUCCAAUCAAUCUUAACUCUUUUUCUGUUAACACAGAAACAUAAGGAAAUUUAUCCUCUGCAAAGAUAAUUAGAACAGAAAAUUCAGGUGCCUAAAUAAUGAAAGUGCACAUAAUACGAAUGUAAUUCACAGCUGGUUGUAGUGCGUCCAUUCAGAGAGUUAUGUGAUGCUCAUGAUCCCACAGGUUUGAGGCCAGUGUGGGCCAGUUGAUUUUCCUUGUUCUAAUCCUCACCCAGCCUUCUUCACGACAUGACAAAGUGGAACAGAUUAGCCCUGAGCUAACAUCUGCCACAAAUCCUCCUCUUUUUGCUGAGGAAGACUGGCCUCGAGCUAACAUCUAUGCCCAUCUUCUCUACUUUAUAUGCAAGACACCUACCACAGCAAGGCUUGCCGAGCAGUGCCAUGUCCGCACCCAGCAUCCGAACCGGCGAACCCUGGGCCGGCGAAGCAGAACGUGCGAACUUAACCUCUGCACCACAGGGCCAGCCUCUCCCCUACCAUCUUUUAAUUCACUUAGUUUAACAGUCACACCACCAGAAGCAGAGAUGAAAAUCUGUGCCUUUGGGAAAAGCUACCAAAAUGGAACCUGCAAAAUGCAAACAACAAGCAGGUAUCCAUCCAUUGUUCUUGGAGACAACUGUGAAGACAACUGCGGGCAAUUGUAAAGCAUCUGAAAGCUUAAUAUGUUAAGCCUUUCAUUCAGGGAUACAAUUUGGGAGUAUCAUUAGCAGGACUAUGUGCUUUUCGAGCAAGAGAGCAGUUUUUUGUUUUCUGUUUUUCUAAUUGCAAAUGUAGACUAGAGUGUCCUUGAAAGUGAUGGUUCUUGGAAGAUGCAUGUGUAUUUUUGUUAAAGCAUUUACUCAUGGGAGAUUGUAAGACUAGACCACAGGCAGGAUAAUGUGCAGGUCUGAACUCUUCCUCCCAUGCUAGAAAAGCUGUGAAAAGGAUUUAGAGUGUGUGAAGUAAUAGAAAAUGUAUAUAUUGGUCUCUGCCCCUGGUUCCUGGCACAGAGAUCCUAAAACCCUUGUAAUUUCCUAAGUGAUAGGAGUGUCUUUUGUUCCAAUGAGGAAAUGCUUGGUGGGCUCCUGAUGGGGGCCAGUCAUCAGAAAGGCCAAGUCAUGAUUAGAACUUUGGAACUUUCUGCCCCAUCCAUUAUCCUCCAGGAAAGGGAGAGAGGCUGGAAAUUGACUUAAUGAUCAAUCAUACCUACGUAUGAACCCUCCAUAAAAAUCCCAAAAGUACAGGGUUUGGAGAGCUUUUGGGUUGCUGAAGAAUGGAGGUACUGGGAGGGUGAUGCAAGGACAUGGAAGCUCUGCAUCCCUUCCCAUAUAUGUUGCCUUACACAUCUCUUUCAUCUGUAUCUGUGUCAUUUAUCAUAUCCUUGUAUAAUAAACUGAUCAUUGUAAUUGUUUCCCUGAGCUCUGUGAGCCAUUCUAGCAAAUUAUCAAACCAAAGGAG
rnacentral:lncRNA from 1 species